rnacentral:lncRNA from 1 species
CAGGACACAGACAGUUGCGUGUUUACCGUGGGGUUGCCGCGGAGCCUCCACCCCCCCCCCCCCGGCCCCACGCGGUUGGAGGGAGCCAGGUGGAAAGGUCACUGGGUUAGCUAGAGGGCCUUCGGCGGGACUCGGAGGACCCGGGCUGUCCCGGGGGCUCGGGGCGGCUCCAGCGUUUCGUGCGCGUCCGGGUCGUUGUCGGAACUGACCUGUGCGGGUUCUGAACGUGUGGCGCCCUGGCGAGGGAGGGGACAACAAGACCCAAGACCCUGAAGAGUUUAGGGCUCUUCAGAAUGAGAAAUCCUUUUCCAAGCCCACCCAAGGAUCUGCCGGAAUCUUGGUACCUAAUCAGUGCAGAAAUGAUGUGCAAGAGAGCAGACAAAGCUGCUUCAAAAUGCUUGCCUUUUGUCUUUGGAAGUUUUAGUUUGAAACUUAAGGGGGAGUGAGAGGUGGUUCCCAAAACCAUCCGCAGAGCUGCAAGGGUCUUUUAUCUGAGGAACAAAAUGUGUGGUCAGGAUUUGGCCCCCCUCCUCUCCCUUUGUGUGUUUCUUUGAUCACAAGCUGUGCUGUUGGGCUCCCAGGAGCCCCUUCCGCCGAACAUCUUCAGUCACCGGCUGAUUCUGCACACUUGGCAGCAAAGCCACCCUCGCCUCUCCUGACAGAUCCAAAACCGGGACUCAGUUGCUGGAAUUGUCAGCUCUGCCAAUUUCUAUGCACAUUUCUCUUCCACUAUGAGCAGAUCAAUUGUCUUGCACCUUUGUCUGGCUUUUGGUAGCUUUUUUUUUCUUAACUUUGCCAUACAAUGUCUGGCCUUCCCCAAAAAAGAACAAGAGCAGCCUGAGAGGAUCAGCACAGAUGACCUGGAAAAUAGCUCUGUGACUCCAAAGCCAACUCCUCAACUGGUGUCCUCCGAAGAUGCAAGACCAGCCUCAGCAGAACCAUCAGCAAUGUCAUUAAAUGAAAUCCUCUUGGAUAACAAAGAAACCCAUCCUGGAGGAGCUGGGCUCUUGCAGUCUAGCAGUGCUGGUCUUUAUAUGGCAUCUGAGCCAGCGGUCCCGACAGGUGAGGACAUGCCUGGUUCCAGCCAGCCAGGGGGCCUGUCUGCUGAGAGCAAGCCUUCAGAGCCCACGCUAACCAUCGCCCUCCCUGCAGCUGCUUCUCUGAGUACUGAUGGGGAAGAGGAGCCCUGGAGCAGUACCAGCAGUCAGCCCACUGUGGAAGGGACCACAGAAACAACACAAAGUUUUCUGACAUAUGUGGUCAAUCAGCUGUUCGCAACUGAAAAUCAGGAAGAAGUUAGUUUGGGACAUACACCUUCAUCCUAUAUGAACACCGAAGAAAUGAUAACCACCAGUCCAAGGAUGGAGCAACUCAAAGCAGCCACAGAGCAGAGGACAACUUCUUUUCCUGGUGCUGAGUCCACAACAGACACUGUACCCGGAAGCCUCCUGCCUAAUGGGGAGAAGCCCUCCCAGAUGACAGCUGAUGAUACCCAGGCCACUGGCACCAAGCACUUAUUGGUGGCAACUUCUGCGUAUACCCUGGGUUUUGAGCCGGAAACCUACAGCUUGCUGGAAGCCCCAGAAAUCACAGUGAGUGUCAGCUCAGCUGUUCCAGCCACCUCUGUCUUAAGUGAGGAAUGGGAUGACACCAAACCAGGGGGUGGAAACCAGAUAAGGACCCCACAGCCUGAAGGCAAUCCAGCGGCAGCGGAGGUAGCUCUGGGGCUGCCAGAAGGAGAAGCACAUGUGGGCACAGCCCUGGAAAUGUCACAGGGGGACGAGGGAUUACCUGCCUCCGCUCGCCUCAGUUCCUUUGCUCCCACGAGCCUGUUGGAAGGUACAGAGUUUUCCAUGAGCCUAUUCCGAGGUGUAGGAGGUGUCACGGAUUCCACCAAGGGAGACAGCACAGCGUUCCUCUCAGAGACGACCGAGUCUGGGUCAGAAUCUCAGUCAGAGGCGUAUCAACUGCUGGGACAGGCACUGAAAGACACCAUCACUCAAGAAAUGACAACGGCUGCCCAGGAACCAGAGGCCACUCUACCCUUCAUGACACGAGAGCAGGUUGCUACCCUGGAUGUUCCCAGAGACAGUGGAGACCCCGAGGAAGGCGAGGAGUCCCCCUCUGCUGGGACUGAUGCUUCUGCUGCUACUCAGCUGUCCAGAAGAUGGGAGCCUCUGGCCACGACAGCUUCAACCACAGCGGCCCCAUUGACUCCUGCAGUCAUCCCUGGUGCGGAAGGCUGCACGGACACAGUCACAUUGUCCAGUGAGGAGUUCACACCGGUUUUGGGCUCCCCUGUGACAACCCCUGGAGUAAUGAUGGAGGUGAUUAGCUCUUCCCCAGCAAUUCCUGCUUCUGAGGCCCCCUCUGAGAGAACAGUUCCAUCCAGUAGCAGCACAAAUACAGCCGCUUCCUACGGCCUGGAACAGCUCGAAUCUGAAGAGGGAGAAGAUGACGAGGAUGAAGAGGAUGAAGAAGAUGAGGAUGAAGAGGAGGAAGAGGAGGAGGAAGAAGAGGAAGAUAAAGAUGCAGACUCCCUAGAUGAGAGCUUCGAUGGUGACAGUGACCUGCCAGGCUUUACUCUCGCUGGUGACACAUCGCAGGAGCCUGGCUUGGAGCAGGGAAAUAGGGACCCAUUGGCGGGAGCCACCUACCAGGUGCCAGAUGCCAUCGAGUGGGAGCAACAGAAUCAAGGCCUGGUGAGAAGCUGGAUGGAAAAACUCAAAGACAAGGCUGGCUACAUGUCUGGGAUGCUGGUGCCUAUAGGAGUGGGGAUAGCUGGAGCCUUGUUCAUCUUGGGAGCACUCUACAGCAUUAAGGUUAUGAAUCGCCGAAGGAGAAAUGGCUUCAAAAGGCAUAAAAGAAAGAGAGAAUUCAGCAGCAUGCAAGAUCGAGUAAUGCUCUUAGCCGACAGCUCUGAAGAUGAAUUUUGA